AUGCCAGAUGUAGUUAGUUAAGUUGAGGUCAUUAGGGUGAACUUAAUCCCAUACAACUGGGUCCUUAUAAAAAGGGGAAAUUUGGACAUAGAGACA